CCUACGGGUGGCAGCAGUGGGGAAUAUUGGACAAUGGGCGAAAGCCUGAUCCAGCCAUGCCGCGUGUGUGAAGAAGGCCUUCGGGUUGUAAAGCACUUUCAGUGGGGAAGAAAGCCUUGGGGCUAAUACCCUCGAGGAAGGACAUCACCCAUAGAAGAAGCACCGGCUAACUCCGUGCCAGCAGCCGCGGUAAUACGGAGGGUGCGAGCGUUAAUCGGAAUUACUGGGCGUAAAGCGCGCGUAGGCGGUCUGAUAAGCCGGUUGUGAAAGCCCCGGGCUCAACCUGGGAACGGCAUCCGGAACUGUCAGGCUAGAGUGCAGGAGAGGAAGGUAGAAUUCCCGGUGUAGCGGUGAAAUGCGUAGAGAUCGGGAGGAAUACCAGUGGCGAAGGCGGCCUUCUGGACUGACACUGACGCUGAGGUGCGAAAGCGUGGGUAGCAAACAGGAUUAGAUACCCUGGUAGUC
rnacentral:rRNA from 1 species